rnacentral:rRNA from 1 species
GAUGAACGCUGGCGGCGUGCCUAACACAUGCAAGUCGAACGAUGAAACCGCCCUCGGGCGGACACGAAGUGGCGAACGGGUGAGUAACACGUGACCGACCUGCCCCCCGCCCAGGGACAGCCCCCCGAAAGGGGGAUUAAUACCUGGUACUCCGGGAGCGGCGCAUGCCGCCCCCGGGAAAGCUCUGGCGGCGGGGGAUGGGGUCGCGGCCCAUCAGGUAGACGGCGGGGCAGAGGCCCACCGUGCCGACGACGGGUAGCCGGGUUGAGAGACCGACCGGCCACAUUGGGACUGAGAUACGGCCCAGACUCCUACGGGAGGCAGCAGUGGGGAAUUUUGCGCAAUGGGGGCAACCCUGACGCAGCAACGCCGCGUGCGGGACGAAGGCGUCCGCGUCGUAAACCGCUUUCAGCGGGGAACACUUUUCGAGGGUACCCGCAGAAGAAGCCCCGGCUAAAUACGUGCCAGCAGCCGCGGUAACAC